GCCCUGCUGCCCCAUAUAUACAGCCCCUGACCAGGUCAGGCUCCGCAGCUCUCUCCUGAACUCUGUCCUUUCUGCACUCAGGUCCCUACAGGCUUGAGACGCUUUCCUCCUACAGACAUAUUUGAGAAGCCAAGGCACAGCCAUGGGGGAUGCAGAGAUGGCAGUAUUUGGGGCCGCUGCCCCCUUCCUGCGCAAGUCAGACAAGGAGCGGCUGG